rnacentral:lncRNA from 10 species
GCGGCGGCGGGGCGCAUGCGCGGCGCCGCGGGGCCUUAGCGGACGGAGGGGAGCGCGGGGGUCACCGGGCCGGGCCGGCAGCCCUAGAGCUCGGCCUGGCGGGGACCCUGGGCCAGCCCCGCGCCUCCGUGGCCCGGGCGUCUCGUGCGUGUCCGCGAACUCGCGUGCGCGCGUCACCUCGGACCGCAGCAUGGCUCGGAGGGCGGCCCUACUCGCGCCGCCCUAGUGCUGCGAAGGGCCUCGGAGCCCAAACCCGGAACCGCCAUCUGGGACUGGGAAGACGACAUGGCCAGAAGCCGACUGGACAGCCGGCACCACCCCAUGAUUCAAGGAUGGCCAUAGCCCAGUGCAGGAGCAGAUUUGCUUCCAGUUUGCCCUUCCUCCUAGGUACAGUCCAUGGGGUUUUCAGCUCUCAGUGCUUAGCAGUUUCAUAGGGCCCCCAGCCUUAGUAGUCUGGAUUUAAAAAAAAAAAAAACACCUAGGCAAAAACAGCUUACAAAUGCUGACUUAACCUGUCUUCUCUCGGAUCCUGGGCUGACAGUUUCUAACUAACUUGUGAGCACUUCGUUGCCCUCAGUAGGAGCCUUAGUCUGAUUCACCUAGUUGGCCACAACCAGGAGAGAAACGUCCUUAUAUCCAUUCUCUCUAACCCAUGUCAAUCAGGCUCCCACCCACCCCAUGUCACACCUUCACCCAUGUGACUUCAAGGUCACAGUGAUCUCCACACUGCCAAACACAGUGGUCCAUGCUCGUCCUCCGACCUCCCAGGUGCAUCUGGCGGCUCGCCACUUCCGGCUCUGACUUCACUGCUGUCCUCAGCCUCCUGGGCUGGUCCCUAGCUCCUCCCAGCCCCUUAACACUGCAGGGAUCAUUCCUGGGCUUCUGCUGUACCCACUCCUUGAUGAUCUCAAUUACCUGCCUUCACACAUCGGCCCUGUGCUGAUGGCUGUCUACCUGCAUCUCCGUCUAGCUGAACUCCAGGCUCCAGCCCAGAGAAGCAAGAAAAGAGCAAACAGAAGUUAUUCACAUGUGCAUCAGGUAUGCACACGGGAGUGCUCAA